rnacentral:rRNA from 1 species
UACAGCGGCGUACGGGUGAGUAACACGUGGAUGAUCUACCUUCUAGUGGGGGGAGUAACCCUGGGAAACCGGGGCUAAUACCGCAUAAGCCUGUGAAGGGAAAGCAGCAAUGCGCUGGAAGAGGAGUCCGCGGCCGAUUAGCUAGUUGGUGAGGUAACGGCCCACCAAGGCGACGAUCGGUAGCCGGCCUGAGAGGGCACACGGCCACACUGGCACUGAAACACGGGCCAG